rnacentral:rRNA from 1 species
AGAUUGAACGCUGGCGGUAUGCUUAACACAUGCAAGUCGAACGGCAGCACAGGGUAGCUUGCUAUCCGGGUGGCGAGUGGCGGACGGGUGAGUAACGCGUAGGAAUCUACCUUUUCGUGGGGGAUAACCCGGGGAAACUCGGGCUAAUACCGCAUACGCCCUACGGGGGAAAGCGGGGGACCUUCGGGCCUCGCGCGGAACGAUGAGCCUGCGUCCUAUCAGGUAGUUGGUGAGGUAAUGGCUCACCAAGCCGACGACGGGUAGCUGGUCUGAGAGGACGACCAGCCACACUGGGACUGAGACACGGCCCAGACUCCUACGGGAGGCAGCAGUGGGGAAUAUGGACAAUGGGGGAAACCUGAUCCAGCAAUACCGCGUGUGUGAAGAAGGCCUGGUUGUAAGACGACUUUAGUACAGAAAGAAAGGACGUGUGCGACUAAUAACCGACACUUGCUUUGUACGUUACUUGUCAGAAAAAGACAACCGGACUAACUACCGACGCCAGACGACGACCGCGGUAAC